rnacentral:rRNA from 1 species
GAUGAACGCUGGCGGCGUGCCUAAUACAUGCCAGUCGAGCGAACAGACGAGGAGCUUGCUCCUCUGACGUUAGCGGCGGACGGGUGAGUAACACGUGGAUACCCUACCUAUAAGACUGGGAUAACUUCGGGAAACCGGAGCUAAUACCGGAUAAUAUAUUGAACCGCAUGGUUCAAUAGUGAAAGACGGUUUUGCUGUCACUUCUAGCUGGAUCCGCGCCGCAUUAGCUAGUUGGUAAGGUAACGGCUUACCAAGGCAACGAUGCGUAGCCGACCUGAGAGGGUGAUCGGCCACACUGGAACUGAGACACGGUCCAGACUCCUACGGGAGGCAGCAGUAGGGAAUCUUCCGCAAUGGGCGAAAGCUUGACGGAGCAACGCCGCGUGAGUGAUGAAGGUCUUCGGAUCGUAAAACUCUGUUAUUAGGGAAGAACAAAUGUGUAAGUAACUAUGCACGUCUUGACGGUACCUAAUCAGAAAGCCACGGCUAACUACGUG